UCAUCACCUAAUAGUGGGUUUUAUUAGUUGCGCCAAAAUCGGGUCUAAAAUCGGGUGGAAAAUCGGGUCACCCCACCCUAUUUUGCCAUACGAUUUUAGACCCGAUUUUGCAACUAAACCCCGUUUCGAAAUUCGGGUCUAAAAUCGGGUGGGGUCUCCUUCGGUCGUUUGAAAGGGGUACCCGCGGGCGUUCGCGCGCUGCUGGAGUCGCGGGAGCGUCACAAACGCCGACGUCGUCCGCAAAGAAUUUACUCGAAACACCACGAUGCGUCGACCCAUUCAAAAACAUUGCACCGCUCGCUGUGAUGAUCACGACGUAAUCAGCGCUCGAACAGGGCCGGACGCAACUUUCAACAAAAAAAGUUCUCCUCUCUCAUCAUUGACGAUUUAAACGCGACGAUUUAAACCGUCAUUUCAGGUUUCGUACCCACCCGAUUUUAGACCCGAUUUUGACCCACCCGGUUUUAAAAUCGGGUGGGUUCACCCGAAUUCGGGUGGGUCGUUGCAAAAUCGGGUCUAAAAUCGGGUGGGGUGACCCGAUUUUCCACCCGAUUUUAGACCCGAUUUUGCUACUAAAACCCUCUAAUAACGACUGAGUCUGAUAAAACGAUUAUAUACUACGCAAUCCUAACCGGCGCGUGCCUCGUUCUCCUCCUUCAGGCUGCGCAUCCUCUCGAAGUUCGCGUCGUCCGGCGCGAUGAACUCGCUCACGACGCCCCACCCCGACGUGAUCUUCGUCGCCGCGACGACGAAGUCCACGCCGCGCCGCAUCGCGACCGAGUCGGACGCGAACCGAAGGCAGCUCACCU
rnacentral:lncRNA from 1 species